ensembl:lncRNA
CCCGUCACCUGUGCCCACUUGGCUGGACGGUCGACCCCCAUACCUCUAAGGGAGAUGUAUCUCUCCCUGUGCUUCCUCUCAACAGUGGGAUUUCAUGGUGCGGGCCUGCUCAUGGUACUCAUUUAUCUCGCUCUCCUAAACUAGGCCUGACAAAACGAAUUCCUGAAGACUUCAGAGAAAAGGCUUGAAUCGCUGCAGAUUUACGCUAUACUCCCAUGCUGGCCGGCUUCCAGAGGAACUGAUAAAACAAUUUCAAUGGCAACCCAAUCUCGCCUACACAGGAUCCAGCUCAGAGGGAGGGUCAAGAGAAGCUUUUAGCCACCAUAAAUUCUCAGGCGGUAAUUCGAUCUGGCUUGAGAUGUUAGGGUUUGUUCCUGAUUAGUUAGUGGCCUUCCACAGGUACUGUACGUUACACAUCCAGACCCAUCUAAAGCACAUGUUCUUCUCUUCUCUGUCUAAAUACAGGAAACUCAACUCCACAGGAAAGAGGUGGAUUCUUGGCAUGCAUCAGAGAGUUUCUCCAGACAACGUCACUCUCUCUAGGCUCACCUACUGUGUCAUGGCCGGGACAUCUGGAAAGUUGACCUUUUGGAAGGGAAAUAUGAGGUUGGUGGGAUGAUAAGACUGAUAAGAUUGCAGCCAAGUCCAAUCUCUCAUGAAGUGAGACGUUACAUGAUGUUCUGCUGUCAGGCUCGGACACUGGCUAGUACUUUCUGGAUCCCUAGUUUGAGAGUUUUUUUAAUCAUAUCUGCCAAUGUGCAGAGGUGACUGCGUGGAAGUUAAAAAGAAGGGAAGUGUGUCUGCAGGACUGCCCAAAAUGACUCAUAUUCGGAGGGCAAGGAAUGGAAAGACGUGAGAGACAAGCAGAGGAUUUGUAAAUAUUUCAAGUUGUAAAUCAUAUGAUUCAUAAUAAUUUGUUUGUGACUCAUAUUUCCCAACUAUUAUGUAGUCAGCUAUCAUAAUAGAUAUAAAGUGCAACAUUCAACUUUUGAACAGCUUCCUGUCAGAAUGACUCCACCUACCAUGGCCUCUUAUCAGCAGAUCUGGGAUCAUUUUCCCUUUCCACUAUUGAAAUCAUGUCAGAACAGACUCUACAUCACCUCCUCUGGGACCCUUUGUAUUAGUUUUUUAGUGGGGGUAUGACGCUAGGAAUGAUAUAGAUAAGCUGAGAACUUUAUUCUGUUUUGAACCUCUCACUCAUUGCGGUCAUCAUUAAAUGCUCUUGAAUCAGCUGUCUAAUAGCCUAAGGCCUCUGGAGAAUAUUUAGCUGGAUCUUUUUGAAAACGCUGAUGGCCAUACAAGGUGGUGGCUUGGUUGGUUUAGUGUAAACAGUUAGAUGUUAGUGUGUUUCCUUGAUGAAGGACGAUGAGCUGAUUCACGUAAGAAUAGAUGCCUCACAUCCUGUAGUCACAAACGAAGAUCUGUUUGCAUGAGACUUUUCAUAUAAAGGUUAUGUUUAGCAAUAAAAAUAUACUAUGGUGAUCCA